rnacentral:lncRNA from 10 species
CCUCUACUGGAGACAGUGGCAAAUAAACGCUUUCCUUGAGCUUUCUUUGGGCUAAAUUGUUGAAACUUCUCUUGGACCCUCCAAAUCCUAGAUGGAAUGAGCUUAAGCAGUAAUCGGAGACAUAUUGGUUUAUAUGGCCAAUCUGCAGAAAGGCUGCUGUGUGUGAAAACCUGACUCCAGUCCUCCCAGCCUCUAGGACCCUGCCCAGACCUGGCCUACCUUCUUCCUCACCGCCACUGGAAAAAAACAGACGUCAAAAGCCUUAACAAAAUACUGUCUGAUAUAGCAAAAUGGAACAUGUUUCCUACUAGAAGUAUAUGACCCGAAGGGGGAAAAAUCUGACUCAUUUUAAAAACAAUUGUUAGGGGUGUGUGUGUUUUGAGAGAAAGAAAUAGAAAAGGGCCAAUGUAUUUGCUAUUAAAAAAAUCUUCAAAAUAACAGAAAAAAUUUAAAACUAUGUACUCAAAAAAUGAAUUGCUUUUGUCGUAUUAGAAGUCUAGCCAACAGAAGUAAGGGGAUGGAGACUGAACCAACCAGAGGAGAAAAGGUGGAAGGCGCUGCCCCAGCAGAGACCAGAACAGGGCCAGAUAAAGUUAGGGUCAAAGAUCCACACCCUGUUUGGAAACUAAGCAAUCAACAAGUGUCAGUUGUUAUUUAGGUGCACCAAACAUUUUGGGGGGAAAUGUGAUUUCAGACACAGAUAAUUAUAUGAUAGGGGCCUAUUUGGCUUUCAGAGAAAAUUUUCAAGAUAAAUCAGUAGCUUUAAAUAAAAAUCUAAGUUUGUAAUCAAAGUUUUUCAGAAAUAGCAGAGAAACAUAUUUUCCUUUAAGUAGUUCUCUGUUAAUAGUCUCUAGUCUCAAGCAGUUUUAAUUUUAAAUAGGACUACCUCUAACUUUGUGGGGUCUGGGGCAAGGGUACAAAUAGAGGCCCAUACAGCAUAUACCUAGAUAUUUAAUUUUUUGUUUGUUUGUUUUUUGAGAUGGAGUCUUGCUCUGUCACCCAGGCUGGAGUGCAGUGGCAUGAUCUUGGCUCACUGCAACCUCCACCUCCCUAGUUCAAGCGAUUCUCCUGCUUCAGUCUCCUGAAUAGCUGGGACUACAGGUGCGCGCCACCAUGCCUGGCUAAUUCUUUGUAUUUUUAAUAGAGACAGGGUUUCACCAUGUUAUUCAGGCUGGUCUCGAACUCCUGACCUCAAAUGAUCCACCCACCUCAGCCUCCCAAAGUGCUGGGAUUACAGGCGUGAGCCACUGCGCCUGGCCUGCCAUUCCCUUCUUCCAAUUCUAUUAGGAGGCAGUGUGAAGAAUUCUUUCCCUGCUAUAUGAAUUACAUCACCUACCUUAAAAGUAGGCAGCUACAGUUGGGGUUGAUUGU